rnacentral:misc_RNA from 1 species
GAUGAAGAACGUAGCGAAAUGCGAUAAGUAGUGUGAAUUGCAGAAUUCAGUGAAUCAUCGAAUCUUUGAACGCACAUUGCGCCCUUCGGUAUUCCGGAGGGCAUGCCUGUUCGAGCGUCAUUAUCACCCCUCAAGCCCGGCUUGUUGUUGGAUGCAGCGCUUAUCCCGCUCCUCCCAAAGAUAAUGACGGCGUCUGCGACGACUCCUGUACACUGAGCUUUCGGGCACGUACACGGCUAGAAGUCCAGACCCGGUCGCCGUCCCCCCCCGCGGGGGACACCCAUUACCACAAGGUUGACCUCGGAUCAGGUAGGAAUACCCGCUGAACUUAAGCAUAUCAAUAAGCGGAGGA